rnacentral:misc_RNA from 1 species
GAGUUCCAUAUAAAAAUUGUAAACUUCCAAAUCAUGAAGAGACAAAAAAUUAAAAGAGAGAUGAAAUGUCAACAUUUUAGCCAUAGAAAUCUCUUGAUACCUCUUCACUUUGAUGAACAAAAUGAAGAAAUCAAGUGCAUGGCUGUGAGAAACUCAUUGCUAGUGAACCAUCUCAUGGUUGCCUUUUAUGCAAAUAUUUCCUUAAUUUUAAUUUUUAUGUGGCUUAAAUUUUGGUAUGUCA